rnacentral:lncRNA from 1 species
UAAGCCACUGAUAGGGGUUUCUAUAGCUAUUUUCGGGUUUAAAGAAAAUCGAUUUUUCGCAUUUUCAAAGUGCUAUAAUUCCCUUAGUUUUUGUCGAAACUCAUUAUAACCCGGUGUUUUCGUGUUGUAGGUGAUGGGAAAAAGCCGCUGGUAUAGUUAGUUCAAAUACGAAAAAAAUCAAUUUUUCGUGAAAAAUUCGAUACGGGGGGGUAUACCCAAAAAAUGAAAAAUCCCAAACUUUGGAGGUCGAUAUCUCGGCUUCUAUAGGCACUAUCUGGAAAAUUCCAACGGUUUUGUCUUAAUUUCGUCCUUCUGAAUCCAACGAGACCAUUCACAAGUUCGUAGGUCUCAUAUUAGCUGAGAUCUCGCAUUUUUAGGGCCCAUUUUUAGGCUCAAAAACGAGGUCAGAAAGUGACCAAUUUCCGAAUUUUCAAAGUGCUAUAAUUCCACUUGUUUCGGUCGAAUUCCGUUAUAACCCGGUGUUUUCGUGAUGUAGGUGAUGGGAAUAAGCCACUGAUAGGGGUUUCUAUAGCUAUUUUCGGGUUUAAAGAAAAUCGAUUUUUCGCAUUUUCAAAGUGCUAUAAUUCCCUUAGUUUUUCUCGAAACUCAUUAUAACCCGGUGUUUUCGUGUUGUAGGUGAUGGGAAAAAGCCGCUGGUAUAGUUAGUUCAAAUACGAAAAAAAUCAAUUUUUCGUGAAAAAUUCGAUACGGGGGGGUAUACCCGAAAAAUGAAAAAUCCCAAACUUUGGAGGUCGAUAUCUCGGCUUCUAUAGGCACUAUCUGGAAAAUUCCAACGGUUUUGUCUUAGUUUCGUCCUUCUGAAUCCAACGAGACCAUCCGCAAGUUCGUAGGUCUUAUAUUAGCUGAGAUCUCGCAUUUUUAGGGCCCAUUUUUGGGCUCAAAAACGGGGUCAAAAAUUGACUUUUUUCCGAAUUUUCAAAGUGCUAUAAUUCCACUUGUUUCGGUCGAAUUCCGUUAUAACCCGGUGUUUUCGUGAUGUAGGUGAUGGGAAUAAGCCACUGAUAGGGGUUUCUAUAGCUAUUUUCGGGUUUAAAGAAAAUCGAUUUUUCGCAUUUUCAAAGUGCUAUAAUUCCCUUAGUUUUUCUCGAAACUCAUUAUAACCCGGUGUUUUCGUGUUGUAGGUGAUGGGAAAAAGCCGCUGGUAUAGUUAGUUCAAAUACGAAAAAAAUCAAUUUUUCGUGAAAAAUUCGAUACGGGGGGGUAUACCCGAAAAAUGAAAAAUCCCAAACUUUGGAGGUCGAUAUCUCGGCUUCUAUAGGCACUAUCUGGAAAAUUCCAACGGUUUUGUCUUAGUUUCGUCCUUCUGAA